AAAAUUUUAAAAGUAAAAUUGGAAAACAAAAGGAUUUAGGUUAUUUCUCUUUACCCUUUGGUUGAAGCAUUGCACCAGCCGCUGGAAUUAGAAAAAAUGGGGAGACAAGAUGUCGACGAGGGAGAUUAGCGUAACGUGCUUUUUUCUACGGUGUUAGGCUUCAGCAAUCCCGAGACGAGGUGCAUUAGCGUAAUGCGACUUCUUAAUUGGGUGAUAAGAGAAAUGCUACCUUCUGAUUGGCAGAUGGCAGUGAGCCACGGAUCCAGAAAUGAAAAUCUGAGAGCUCUACCUUCCUGUGUUUUGCUAUGGCUCUCAUGAAUUCUGUUGGUGCUCUGAAUCAAAAAGUGGAUGCUGUUGCAGAUAUCAACCCAACGAAGCUGGCUUGGAAUCUGAAGGUUGAAAUUGUGCGCCUCUACGAGUUUCCUAGCAAGUGGAACCCAAGAGAGAUUUACAACAUGGAGUUGGUGCUUCAAGAUGAAAUGGGUGAUUGUAUACACUGCUCCAUCCCGAAUUCAAAUAUGGCGGUAUUUAGGACCUUGAUUCGUGAGCAUGAACUUUAUACAAUAAAAAAUUUUAUUGUUCAAGUAGUAAGACAAUCUGUGCGAAUAACUAGCCACAAGUAUAAACUAAGCUUUUAUACCAAGACCUCUGUCAGUUUGCUUUCCAGCGGCAGUUUUCUGUUUAAUCCUUUUCAGUUUGUCUCAUAAGAGAAGAUUGAGGCAAUGGUUGGUGUGAACAAGAACCAUUUGCUGGAUAAAUCAAGUUACUGAUUAGUUAUUUUGUUCAUUCUUUUAACGUUAUUGUAUAAUGUUGGUUACUUAUUUGGUUAAAUUUGUAUGUAUCUUUAUGAAUCUCUUUGCACUUUGGGUUGCUUUGUGUACUCUUUUGUAGACUGUAUGGGUCAUGUCGUAGGAAGAGAGGAUGUUACACCAUUAGUUACAAAAUCAAGAGAGAAGUGUAAAUUCAUUAAACUACACUUGGAAGAUUUAGAGUCCGUUUCCUAUUUAUUUUCAAUUCUUUUUUCGAUUUUGUGAUUUACUAUUGAUUUGUCAUUUGGGUGGGCUUUGUUUACAUUGUUUGUCCUUAUAUUUUGUUCCACUUAAAAAAUUAGAGAAAACAUCAUGAAGUGCACCCUCUUUAUUUGGUGAAUUGGUGGACAAAGCCCUUGGCUUAUUUGAUAAAGAUGAUGGUCAGCCUAUUAUCUUGGUGGCACAACUCUUUAAGCCUAAUUUCUAUCUCAAUGAGGUCAAUGUUCAAAAUAGCCUUUAUGCCUCUCUCCUGUUUUUUAACCCUGAGAUUCCCGAUGUUCUUGCAAUCAAGAAUAGGUGUGUUGAAAGUAUGUAGUCUGUCCUCACUUAACGGGUUCCCUUAUCUCAUUAAUUUCACUAUAAUGUCUUCCUAAGAUUGUUUGUCUAUUUGAUCUCAUGUGCUUCAGGUUAAUAAAGAGAGGUGAUCUAAAGGCUCAGUGUAUUAAUUAUAUACAGAGCCAGCCUGUAAAUUUAAUUAGUGAUGAGUUGCAUGGCGGUUCUUUACCAAUCACUACUAUUGAGGAGGUUUUGGACAAAACUAAUAAAACUUCAUGUUGGAUACUAGCCACUGUGGUUUCUAUUGAAGUUGGUGGGUGUGAUUGGUAUUAUGCUUCGUGCAAGAGUUGUCCCAAAAAAUGAAGGAGAAUAAAGGUGGUUAUCUAUGCAAGCAUUGUGGUAAAGUUGGUUUCAAUGCUCCUCUGAGGUAUCAUCUACAUGUUAUUGCCAUUGGUGGUACUGGCUGUAUUGGCCUAAUCAUUUGGAACCAAGAGGUCAAACUGGUUGUUGAAAAGUCUGAAAAAAAUGAUUUAGUACCUCAGUGUAAAUUUUUUAAUAUUUGUGUAAAAAAUGAUUUAUGUAUUCAACUCAUUAUAGAGCAAUGAAUAAUGAAUUGAUUCUUUUUUUUUUCCUAAUAUCCAGAGAAGAAAAAAUGUGGCAUGCAAGAAAAAUCUCACCUCAAUUGAUCAAGUGUAUAUUGUAGUUAAGAUUAACGAUGAUGACACACUUAUAGUCCUUUAUGAGUCCCAGUCUUGCUCUAUAGAUAUGGUGGUGUGUUUUUUAUCUUUUAAUUGUUAUGUUGUUCAUUAUUUGCUUUCUUAUUGUAGUGAUCACACUAUUUUUUUUCAAUAACUACCUCUUAGGGAGUUGACCAAAAUGUUUCUAAUCUAUUGCCUGCAUCCUUUACUAAUGAGGUUGAGUCUGAUGUACAUUCUGCUGCAGUUGUGUCUUCAUCUAAGGUUUGUAUAUCAUAUGAAACAUGCAUAGAGCAUGAGCAAAUUUUAUGACCAAUCCCUCCCUCUUAAGAUCUGUCGUUUCUGAGAUGUGUUGCUAAGCAUGCAGGAUUCAGGUUUGGAGAGCAUUUUCGAGUGCGGUCUUGAGACUUUUGGCAAGGGUGUUGUGGCUGAUUCAAAUGUAGGUGCCGCUAUUGGUGGGCUAUAUAGUCCAAAUGUUCAGGGCUCUACAACCAAGCCACUGAAAGGUUGUGUUGGGGAAAAGAAAUUUGAGUAGUUAGUAAACACACUUCGGUUAAUGUGGAAUCCGAGAAAAGCAUUUUCAGCUUAGUUGAAAAUGCUCUUUUAUUUAUGUACAUUUUACUUUAAUAUCAUCUUUAAUUGUUUUCUACACGAGAAUCUAUUUAGAAAUUUAUUGUAAGAACUCUAUAUAUGUUUGUUAAUUAUAGUU